AGAACGAACGCUGGCGGCAUGCCUAACACAUGCAAGUCGAACGCUCACCGGGCUUCGGUUCGGUGGGAGUGGCGCACGGGUGAGUAACGCGUGGGAACCUGCCCUGGAGUGUGGGAUAACCGAGGGAAACUUCGGCUAAUACCGCAUACGACCUGAGGGUGAAAGAUUUAUCGCUCUAGGAGGGGCCCGCGUCGGAUUAGCUAGUUGGUGGGGUAAAGGCCUACCAAGGCAGUGAUCCGUAGCUGGUCUGAGAGGAUGAUCAGCCACACUGGGACUGAGACACGGCCCAGACUCCUACGGGAGGCAGCAGUGGGGAAUAUUGGACAAUGGGGGCAACCCUGAUCCAGCAAUGCCGCGUGAGUGAUGAAGGCCUUAGGGUUGUAAAGCUCUUUCGCGCGCGACGAUGAUGACGGUAGCGCGAGAAGAAGCCCCGGCUAACUUCGUGCCAGCAGCCGC
rnacentral:rRNA from 1 species